CCCAGCCGUAGGCAAUGGCUUAGGUUGUCUUGUACCUAGGCAAGUAUUACACAGCUGGGAGAAAAGCAGUGAACAGCUGUCAGGCAUCCUGAGUCUAGUUAAUGCCAAAUU
rnacentral:snoRNA from 1 species